GACGAACGCUGGCGGCGUGCCUAAUACAUGCAAGUCGAACGAGAGCGACCGGUGCUUGCACUGGUCAAUCUAGUGGCGCACGGGUGAGUAACACGUGGGUAACCUGCCCAUCAGAGGGGGAUAACAUCCGGAAACGGAUGCUAAAACCGCAUAGGUCUUCGAACCGCAUGGUUUGAAGAGGAAAAGAGGCGCAAGCUUCUGCUGAUGGAUGGACCCGCGGUGCAUUAGCUAGUUGGUGAGGUAACGGCUCACCAAGGCCGUGAUGCAUAGCCGACCUGAGAGGGUGAUCGGCCACAUGGGGACUGAGACACGGCCCAAACUCCUACGGGAGGCAGCAGUAGGGAAUCUUCCGCAAUGGACGCAAGUCUGACGGAGCAACGCCGCGUGAGUGAAGAAGGUUUUCGGAUCGUAAAACUCUGUUGUUAGAGAAGAACAAGUGCUAGAGUAACUGUUAGCGCCUUGACGGUAUCUAACCAGAAAGCCACGGCUAACUACGUG
rnacentral:rRNA from 1 species